GCCAGUGUGGUGUAGUGGCUUGAGCAUUGGACUAUGACUCUGGAGACCAGGGUUCGAAUCCCAGCUCAGCUA